rnacentral:misc_RNA from 1 species
CUUGGCUGCGUAAGGACGCCUUUCGUCAUUAAAGACAGCAUUGACCAGUAUCAGAAAAGAUAUACGCAUAUGUACAUAUAUAAAUGUACGUACGUAUGUCGAUCGGUCGCGUACGCGUGUGAGGACUAGCCGAAUAGUGUGGCUGUGUGUGUGCGUGUGUGUGUAUGUGUGAGUGGGUGGAUUUGUUCUUUUAUUUUCAUUUCAUUUUUUAUUCGUUUUAAAAUUCUACAUUGUUGUUACGGGGAGAGGUUAAAUCCGCGUCAAGAGUUGUGUGUCGAUAACAAGGAUACCGGAGAUAAAUCACGCAAAACCGUCUCUCCCUCUCUCUCUCUCUCUCUCAACCUAUCGCUCUCUAUCUUCCCCGCCCUCAGGGGAAAAUAAAUAAAUUAAAAAAACAAAAAAAAAAAUCGCCAGCCCCCGAGCAUCGGGUUUCGUUAAUUUCUGGUUCGUUGUUUCGUUCCCCCUUCGCCCUCCCGCCGUCAUCAUCCUCCUCCCCCUCCUCCUCCUCCCAGCGACCAAAGAGUCACUGCCAGCAGCUGAGCGAGUGCACGUCGCGUUUCUGUAUGUCGCGCCGAGUGUCGUGUCGUCUCUGUGUGUCGUCGUUGUGCGAUCGCGCGUGCGACGAGGAGAAAUAUAACCUGAUGUGAGUGAAACGUUGGAUUUAAAAACCGCCUUUCAGUUUUUCCGGAAUACCCCAACCUGUUAGUUAUAAGCGGCCACCGGUCGUUUUGUCCUUCGCCCGAUCGGAGCCGGAAAAAUCGUGAGAAUAGCGGAAGGUCGAUUCGUCGCUUUCUUUUCUUUUCAUUUCAUUUGUUUUCUAUCGGGUUCGAACCGAGGGUAUUAUUUAUCGUACGUAAAGGCGAAACGGAAAUAGUUGCACGCUGCUUCGGGUUUGCGUGCGGAAAACUGAGGUGAAAAAGAAGAGUAAUAAGCGAGACAAGGGUAAGCAAAGGAAUAGGAGGGUCACCGUUGUUCGCAAGAGCUGAUUGUAAUAACCGUGACACAUUGUGACGUGUGACGAGUGGAGAAGAAGAAGCAAAAGUUCGGGAUAAAAAAAAAUUCAAACAAGUUUCGUUUUUAUUCCACGUGUAACGGUGCCGCCGAAAAAAGAAGAAUAAGAAAAAAGAAACAAACGAAACGAUACCUCGUCGAUGUCGAACAGGAAAAUCAGCGGUGGUUAAAAGUUUGUGAUCUUUCGCUCUUGGUUUUUUUUUUCCAACGUCAAAGCGACCGUCCCGCGUACAACAGUGCAAUAACACGGCCGACAGGGAGAUAAAAAAAAAAAAAAAAAAAAAAAAUAGGCGGCAAUUGGUGAUACGAAAAGAGGAUUAUUUUUCGGUGUGUAAGAAGUGUGGGUUUUAAAAAAAGUGACAGAAGAAACAACGAAAGGAUCCGAGAACUAAUAAUCAGCGUCAUAUGACAGCGGUGAGAGGAGUUGGGAAAAAAUUUUGUUUUAACGUCGAUUUUCGAUCCGAGAUAUUUGACGAAACCCGUGCUUGAAAAAAAAAAAAAAAGCGUUGCACCAAGGGCUGAUUAAGUUGUGUACAAUCGAACAUUCAAAGAAUGCGAAGAAACGACGCGCCAUAGAGGGUAAAACGUAUAAAUAGUGAGGUGGGCGAGUAACGAAGCCGAAAGCCGUAGGGACCAGUUCGAAAACAAAACAAAAGAGCGUCGUCGUGCAUCGUCUCGGUGCGUUUGGAACAGCACAGCAGCGACGGAAGAGGGUGAAAGUGAAAAUCGUCGGUGAUACGGGACCGCCGCUUGCCGACGGAGAGACAGACAGACGGGCGGAAACCCAGUAACAGAAGUAGCAAAAGUAUACGAACAGGGGAAAAAAAAAAUCUGCGACCAAUCACCUCGAAGUCAGUCGGCUCUUCGCCUAGGGGGGCCUUAGGUGAAUUUUUGAUGGCAGUGGUGGGGCCGAGCCGGCACUCGCGGGUGUCCAUGAGCGUGUCGAUGUCGCUUAUGCAGGGGGGUGGGGCCGGGGCUACCGGCGGCGGCGGCGGAGGCGGCGGGACGACCGGGACUCAUCCGGGACAGGCGGUCCUAGCAGCGGCGGCGGCCGCCGCCGCCGUCGCCCAGGCCCCCCCGACUUAUUACCACCCCGCCGCCCCCGCACCGCCACCACCACCCCCUACCCAGGACCCAGUACAGCCGGACAGACCCAUUGGAUACGGGGCCUUCGGAGUCGUCUGGGCUGUCACAGAUCCCAGGGACGGUCGUCGAGUGGCGCUUAAAAAACUGCCGAACGUCUUUCAGAGCCUCGUCAGCAGUAAACGAGUGUUUCGAGAGUUGAAGAUGUUGUGCUUCUUCAAACACGAAAAUGUACUAUCUGCACUGGACAUACUUCAGCCACCGCAUCUAGACUUCUUCCAGGAAAUUUACGUGAUAACCGAGCUUCUCCAAAGUGACCUGCACAAGAUCAUCGUCAGCCCGCAGCAUCUCAGCGCAGAUCACAUAAAGGUCUUCCUGUAUCAAAUACUGAGAGGAUUAAAGUAUCUGCACUCGUCGAGAAUUCUGCAUCGUGAUAUUAAGCCGGGAAAUCUGCUGGUAAACAGCAAUUGCGUUUUGAAGAUCUGCGAUUUCGGCUUAGCCAGAGUCGAGGAACCUGACCAGAACAAACACAUGACUCAGGAGGUGGUCACGCAGUACUACAGAGCACCAGAAAUCCUUAUGGGUGCACGGCACUAUUCAGCAGCAGUUGACGUGUGGAGCGUUGGUUGUAUCUUCGGUGAGCUUCUCGGUAGGCGAAUUCUAUUCCAGGCGCAAAGUCCGGUACAACAGCUUGAACUAAUCACGGAACUGCUCGGCACUCCUUCGAUGGAAGACAUGAAGUACGCCUGCGAAGGAGCCAGAUCUCACAUGUUGAGACGAGCGCCGAAACCACCUUCUCUAACAGCUCUCUACACUCUCAGCAGUCAGGCUACGCACGAAGCUGUGCAUCUCUUGUGUCAGAUGUUGGUGUUUGAUCCGGACAAAAGGAUCACCGUCGUCGACGCUCUAGCUCAUCCUUAUCUCGACGAAGGACGACUGCGUUAUCAUUCCUGUAUGUGCACUUGCUGUUAUACCGCAAGUGCUGGAAUGCGACAGUAUACCGGCGAUUUUGAACCUGCCACUUCACACACCUUUGACGAUUUGUGGGAAAGAAAGUUGACCAGUGUGCAGCAGGUGAAAGAGGAAAUGCACAAAUUUAUCGCGGAACAGCUGAACACAACGCGCGUACCACUGUGUAUAAACCCACAGUCAGCGGCGUUCAAGAGUUUCGCAAGUUAGAGCAAGCCAUCUGCCAACCCAGCACCGUGCGCCGCGUAUACGUACACAUUACCACUACCGAAUCAACUAUCUACCACUGUCAGCUACCACUAUCGACUACUACUACUAUCAGCUACUACCAAUCGUUACGUCUUCUCCUGAACGAAAGAAAGAAUGACCGAGAAUCAUCUAUAAGUCGGCCCGACCUCGCUCGCAGAGCUCAACGGUGGCCCAUCCUUCGGAACUGCCACCCUCUCCACAUCAAUGGGAAUAAUGUUUUCCCUGGGUCCAAACACAUCCGGUUUUCUACAAAGGGCAUGACGACGAAUGGUCAAGAGAAUUGCAUUUGUCGCAUCCGGUGAAAGGAAAGAAGAGAUGAGAGAGGAAAUUGUGCAGAAGAAAACUAACCGAAUCCAGCCCGAGAAGAACGGAGACUAUCGAAGCAGUUGGGCCCUCAGAGCACUAAGAGAGACAAUAGACUGCUGAGCAAGUAGCCUCAAAUUCAAGUCUAGUUAAUAGACGAACGUAGCUAAAUAAUAGACAAAUAGUAAGAAUACAAAAUAGCAAAUAUUAGCAACAGAAAGAAGUGGAACACUGAAAUAGGCCAGUUUUUAGCUUGAUUCGUACAAAGACAGCUGGUAUUUAACUGAUCGCAGUUAUGAACACUACAGCGUUAAUUCCGUAUGAUAAUAAUAAUAAUAACACUAAUAAUAACAAUAAUAGAAAUAAAAAUGACAGUUACAAUGACAACGUGUACCAUAAUAGGUAUAUACGCUAAACACGAAAACUUUGUGAAGAUGAGUGCGUAUGUAGUAAAUUUAGUAGAAAACAGUUUUUUGGACGAGCAUGUAAAGAGCGUAAUAAGAGCAUAAUAUAGUUUCAAAGGUAUGAUCUUAUAUUAUUUCGUUUGCAUUAAAAUGACGCAAUUUAGUUUCAUUACUUUAAUCUUAAUAUAUAUAUAUAUAUUAUAUAUUACAUAUAUAUUAUAUAUAAUAUAUUAAUAUAAUAUACAAUAUAUAUAUAUAUAUAUAUAUAUAUAUAUAUAUAUAUAUAUAUAUAUAUAAACGACUGAAAGUUGUAUCGUAUGACAAGAAGCUAGCUAUUCCGCUGAAUAUGCAAUAUCAUAUGAUAUACGUCUGCUGUAAUCGUUUAUUCGAUUAACUACGCCGAUAUUGUUGUUAUGGUAUUAAUUCGUCUGAUAAAUCAAUGGUGAUAUAUAAUAAAGUAAACGAGUAUAGCUCAUGACGAAGAUGUAUCAUAUCUAAGCUCGGCAUGUAUAUUACAUUAUUUAGUGAGUGACGUUGAAAGAUUAGUCCUGCAACUGCAAUUCCGGAAGUAAACAAAGGAGAAAACAAUAUUCCAAUAUUCGCAUGCCACUGCCGAAUAAUCUUUUCGCGACGUGAUCGAAAGUUCACGUCAAGAAUACAGAUAAUGGGGAAAAAAACACACACACACACACACAUACAAUUGCACUACUAUACAUAUUUAUGUACAUACAUACACAACACGCUAUACUUAUUAUGUGAUAAAUAUCAUUGUGGCAAAUUGUUCAGAUACAUGGAAAUAAAGAAUAAAACGCCUUUGAAUUUAUCGUAGCAGUAUCGUCAACUGCAAAAUUUACCGCUUAAUCAAACAGAAAUACAAAGCUUCUCUGAAACGAUAAGUAACAAGUAUGACUUACGCAUUUUCAGUAAAAUAACACCGACGGACCGUUUUCCUUGCCAAAAUACGAUCGUGAAUAUUCUCGUUCUGUUUCUGUAAAUUUCGUACAAUGUUAUUACGCAUAUACAUACGUAUAUCGGAUUCUGAGUGUGAUUUAGAUUAAGAAGAGAAACAGUAGGGGUGCAGGAGUAGAUGAUACGUUGAUCUAUGACAAACGUCACACGUAUUUCAUUUUGUAAAAAAAUGUGUUCUCUUUUUUACACAAAACUAAAAAUAUGUUAUCUUCGACUAAGUAAUAAGUCCCUCCUUAUAUUAGUUUUGCGAUGUAGAGGAAUAACUUGUCCGUUAAGGAAGAAAAAAAAAAAAAAAAAUUAAAAACUUUUUUUUAAAAAAUCUAAAAAAAAAAUUACACUGCGUAUCUUGGCGAGGGAUUGUCGUUUAUUUAAAAACAAUGAAUGUCUAGCCAGAUUACUGGCGCAUCUGCAAGACGAUGCCCAAACUGGUUUAAAUAUAUACAUAUAGGUUCAUACACUCUAUUAUAUAAACUGGAUUAGGUAUAUAGUUUUAUUAAUUAGUAUAUUGUAAUUAGCGUAAAUUUUUCUUUAUUCAAUCACUUCGUAAAGUAUAUCACAGAAUCAUUUGUAAAUAAAUCAUUCUUGCAUAACGUAUAUUUAAAACUCACAUUAAUCAUCGCAUUACGUGCACACGAUUUCGAAGGCCACUAAUGUUACAUCCUGUAUCAACAACUGAAAUUUAUAUUUGCAAGUUUGAGUUUUGCAAAAUUUAGAAAGUUUCAUUAAAUACAAAAUCGGUUAGAAUAUUAUCGAUGUACACACCUGUCGCUUCUAACUUGAAAUUCGUGAAACGUAUUGAUCGCGAAAUGUUAACGCUAACAUUACAAUAUCUAAAGACGUUCGUAUCGUGUCAGUUUGAUAGUAUAUUAUUAGAUACUCGAUAGGACGUAUGUACCAGUAUUUUCUUAAAAUUAACCUUUUAAUUAUGUGACCUUUAAAACUGUGUAAAGUGACGUUAUAACUAUGUGGGAACAAGUGUGUUGUUUAGUAUUACAUUAUCUGAUCAGGGUGAGUAAAUUGAUUUUGACAGUGGAUAUAUUCGGUGUGUAUAUUCAGAGAGAAGUCAGAGAUAUUGAACGAAUUGAUUUAGUCCAUCCUGCAUACAUUUAAUUCACUUUUGUUACAUAAACAACUUCAGAACUACCCGAAAGAUGAUCGGGUUAGUUUUCUCGGAUCUAAGAAAAAAAGAGUAAUGAUCGAUGAAUAAUAGUGAUAAAAAAAUUUUUUUAAUCUCAAUAAAAAAAAUUUCUCACAAUGUAUCUUAACGAAUACCUUAGGUAUAUUUUCAAUGCAUUAUUACAUAAUUGGCAAGUCUCAAAUAAUUUAUGUGUGUAUCUCCUACUUAUAUGUAAGAACCUAUAAUCUAAUUCAAACGAUUGUUUAUAUUUUUAAUCUUAUGUAUAUAAAUAUAUGAAAAGAACUCGAAAUAUUGCAAACGUAAAAGAUAACAUGAAAAAAAGCAUGGAAAUACUUGAUAAAUUACGUAAAUAGAUAACAAAACAUUGACGCCAUGUCAUUUUCACGUGAGAGGCAAGUGAAAAGCAACAAAGUGAAGAAGGAAAACUUUGGAAACUUGCAACUGUAAAUAGAUUCAUUAGCAAAGUUCGUACACGUACGUGAAAAUACGAAGACGAUAGUAAUGAUCACACAGUUAAUACUUGAUGUACGAAUACAUUUUUUGUUUCUCUUUUUUAACGCUUUCGUUUCAAUUUAUUCUAAUCCAAAAUCAAGUAGCCCUCAUAAAUUUGUUGUCAAACAUCGGAAGCUUGAGUAAAUGCUUACGGAAAACUGAUAUAAAAAAAGAGGCUACAAACAUAGUGAAAGUAUUGAUAUUAAACAUACAUAAUAUCACAGGUAAUCUUACAUUUGAAAUUAUUGAUAACAAUUGAAAUUCGAUUCUGUGCUAUGCACUCUACUUGAAUAAUUGUGUAACAACAGCCUGAUCUGUAGUGGUUGUAGUUAUUUUUUCUCGGACAGAAAAUAACGUAACGCGAAUAACGAAUGAAAAAACAAAAAAUUUAUGACCCAUUCCUGCUACAAGAGCACUCGAUGAAUUGUAAAAGGUGACUUGAAACACGCCUCUGUAUUCGUUGUAAAUUUUGUACGUAGUUAGAUCGUCGUCGGGUGUCUUUUUAAACCCCAGAUUAAAGCUCUUUUAGACUGUAUGUGGUUGUUAGCACGUCAUGCUAUGUUAUUCGACUAGGUUGUAUCGGUCCAAUAAUGGAUAGAUAAAACUUGACUAGGUGCACAUCUACAACCGUGUUGUGUAUUUUAUCUAUAUCGAAUAAACCAAUAUAAAUUAUUCAGAAAGAAGGAAGCAAGGAAAGAUUAAUGAGAAAAAAUAGAACCACUUUUAAACUACUGUUCUUGCUCUCGUGAGACGUAAAGUUACGAUGGUCAAAUGCCACAAUGUAUGAUAAUAAUAAUAAUAAUAAUAAUAGUAAUAACAAUAAUAACAAUAAUAAUAAGAAUCAUAAUAACAAUUAGUAGGUUUAUGUGUGUAUAUUAGGGUGUUUCAAAAUAAAAAAAAUUUCGAUUUUCCAACGGGCCACACCUGAAAUAGUUAGUUUAGGUAGAAACAAAAAUUCUGGCGAAAGAUGAGCAUUGUCGGUCGAGUGGAAAAUCGGGCACGUUUGAUUUUUAAUCUUUUUUUUCCUUGUUAUCGAAUUUAUGAUGGACAAUUGUUAGUAAAAUUUUUUUUUCCUGUUUACAGCUGUCAGCGAAUCAGUUCGCGUCUUAAAUAAGAUGCUCCUGGAACUCUUUACUUGAUAUUUAGUAGGGACGUCUAACGGGUUUUCUGAUUAUUAUUCAAUUAAAAUACAUGAAAAACAUUUUCUCACUCAGAUUUCAAUAUUUUAUUCAAUAUUUACACAUUUCCUAUUACAAUGGGUCCCUAUUAAAUAUCAACUAAAGAGUUCCAGGAGCAUCUUAUUUAAGACACAAGCUGAUCCGCCGGCAGCUGUAAACACGAAAAAACUUUUUACUAACAAUUAUCCAUCAUAAAUUCGAUAAAAAGGAAGAAAUGAUUAAAAAUCAAACGUGCCCGAUCUUCCACUCAGCCGACAAUGCUCAUCUGUCGCCAAAAUUUUUGUUUCUACCUAAACUAACUGUUUCAGGUUUGGCCCGUUGGAAAAUCGAAAAUUUUCUUAUUUGGAAACACCCUGGUGUAUAUACUUGUAUAGAUGCAUGUAUGUAUGACUUUACAUAUAUGUGUGUGUGUGUGUAUGCAUACACACAUGCAGACACGCAUUUAAACAUAUUAGUUUGAAAACUAUAUUAAGCCUUGAUGAACAGGCAAAGCUGUAACGCGACUGAGAAAACAUAAAAUUUGCAAAGCCGAUACCAGAUCCUAGUUGAACAAACGUGACUUAAGCAUGAAUAAGUUUUACAAAAUUGAUCUCUCUCUCCAUCAACCCCUUUUCAGGGUCAGAGCGGUAGCAGCAGAAAACAAGGCUUGACAUGGUUUUAUGGAAAAAAAAAAACGAAAAAAAAAAGAAAAGAUAUGGAUCUUGUAACCCGCGGUGUAGUCGAUUAAUUAGGGACUAUGAAGAGUAAGGUUUAGAUUUAUUUCACAUGACUUUAAAUAUAAGAGAAAACGAGCACGGAAAUGGGACGAAAAAACGCAUAUAUAUGUAUAUAAAUAUUUAAGAAAAAUGCAGCCAGUAAGCGUCGUGACCCUGCCCUGCUAAUAGCCAGCAAGAGCUGCCCGAUACGAUAAUUUGAAAGUGCGAUUAGGAGCAUCGCUAUCUUUGUCUUAUACCUUAUACCUAUAUACCUAUAUGUAUGCACGUGUAUAGAUAUACAUAUAUUUUUAUGUUAUACGCGGUGGAAUUCAACGUAUUUUUCUUUCAUUUAUUACCCUGUUACCGCAUAUAUACAGUGCGGAAUACGUCGCACUCUUCAUUUUAUCCCUCAUAUUUCACAGAUCUCAUUACUAUUAAAGCUUAGAUCAUAGUCAAAGGAUACAUCUAUUAACGGGGAAACCAUUUUCGUCAAAGUUUAGGGACAUUUUUACGUAAACCACGUUCGAUUAUACAGUUUACAGCUAUGCAUCCGAAAACAGGACAAAAUUUUUUUUAAACACAUCUAGACAAUGAUAUGAAAUAAAUAAUGCACUUUCUUUUUUUUUAUCACUAUCUAAGUUUCUUUUAUUUUAUUUCACUUUUCUAUACAUAUCUCUUUACAUCAUUUCACAUUUUCAACUUAUUCAUAUUUUUUCCUCCCCAAUAAAAAUUUGAUAAGACCUUCGACAAUUUAUGUAAAUAGUACGGGUUCUUUAUUCCGUUUAGUUUGCCAGUGACAAGAGUGUUGACAGAAAAACAAAAAAAAAAAAAGAAUAGUACAAUCGCGCUAUGAGCCAAGUUUUACCAAAUAACGUUUUAUCGAAACCCGGAAUGAUCGGAUCCCGUAGAUGCAAGCUCAAUUUUUUAUGAGAGACCUCGUAUAAGACUUACGAUACGGGAAAUCAAGCAGAGGUUAGUUCCAUAGUUAAAAAUUUCUUGUGUAAUACAAUAUAAUACUAAAACCAAGGUUUGUAAAUACGUACAAAGUUAGGCAGUGUCCGAUUAGCUGAACAUUUACACAUCCACACACAUUACACUGUAUAAUGCUGGUUGAUUGUUACUUCACAUUUGACGAACAUAGUAAGCAACAGAAAAACAAUGAAAAAAUAUACGCAAUAUUAUUUUUUUCGUAUUAAAAACUGGGUAAGUUAUGAAUUUACCACGAAACUAUGCAUAUGCAGGCGAUUGUUACAUACAUAUAAUACAUCAUAAGGUACCUCACGCAAUGCAUACAUAUGUAAUAUAAAUGUAUUACAUGUGUGUGUGUGUGUGUGUGUGUAUGUUUAAAAUUGAGGGAAAGAAAAAAGCAACAAAUAUAUUCUACAAUAGCGAAUAUGCCUUGAAAUAUAGAAAGUGUCUGACACAAUAUGCCCUCAACGAUAAAGUUGCUACAGAAAUAUAAGAACUCACGAAUUUGACAUAGCUUUAUUUAUUUGCAAAAGUUCAAAUCUUCAUGGAUGUGCAAUUUCCUUUCUCAAGAUUUCCAACCGCCUUCGGAUUCGUUGCAAUAGUUUUCGUUUCAUUCGAACGUUCGCGCGCGGAAAAAAAAUCGAGUUGUUUACGCCUGUUAUAUUUUAAUCAGACAACACACAAUACGCUGUUGUUCUAGAAACGAUGCUAUUUUUUUUUUUAUCCAUUGACUAUGUGACGAGUGUGAUGCGGAAAUUUUUAAAAAUGACUAUUCCUCUUGUCGAAUGAAAUCGCAUCUGCGUCAGCGAGUGUAACCGCGAAAAUGCUCGGAAAUAUUCGAGUGUUGUGUGUUGCCUGUUUGCAAGUCAAUAGGCGGUUUUGUCAAAUUUAAUGCUGCGGAAUGCGCGAUGCGUUGAUUUUAGUUUGAAUUCUCGCUAACGUAAGAAAGCAGUCAAGAAGAGAAAAAAAAAAAAAAAAACUAUCAAACAUCGAUGUUUGACUGGUAGAAAGGGAUUUUUGGUGAAAUGCAAUAAAUAUUUUUAUCACAAAUCACACCAUUCCUCAUAAAUCAUCGAUUCCGAGAUAAUAAUAAAACAAUAUACAUAAUUCGCUUAGUACUAGUGUUAAUUCCGAAAACUACAACACAACUUCGAUCUCGAAAUAAUUAAUAAAUCAACAAGACUUUAAUUUAUAUUCUAAUUUGCAUUUGCGUAUCCAUUAUCACAGUUAUUUGACUUCAGGUUUGUUUUUCUUCGCAGUUUAAUUUUCUUUUGAUACAAUUUAAUUACACUGAGACAUCUUCAACUAUGUAAUCAAAAUUAAAGUAUAUAGAUAUAUAAUUGAAGCAGCCUUGUUGUAGCUAGAUGCCGCAGACUUUUGACGUGUACAUAGUAAUAAAUAUAAUAAUGAUGAAUAAUGAUUAAGAGUAAGGUACAUUAGGUAUAUAGAAUGAGAUUGUUUUCAAAUCGUCACUGGUUAUUAUUAGGUGGUAAAAUGAAGCUCGAGACUCUACCGAGUCUCGUGAUAAUCACCGCGACUCGAUGAGCGUAAAAUAUGUAUAUCUUGGGAUAAAUCAAUAAUAACACAAUAUGCCGAAGCCACAAUAUUGAGUCGGUCGUAUGCUCGUAUAAUAAUAAAAUAGAAACGCACGCAAGAGUAUCGUAUUGUUGUUGCUUAAAUAUCCGUAGGAAUUUAGCGGUCAAGGUAAAAAGUGAUGACCUGUCGUGUUAGUAACUAAGAGGCCUUAAUAUAUCAUCAUGUUUAUGAAUAUACGUUAAUAAUUAUUAACUGUAAUUAAAUCGUAAAUUGAUGAUUAGUAUACAGUUACGUUGAAACUGUAUUGUAGGUAUAAGAUUGAUUAUUACGGAGUUGCAUUAUUAAAAACCACACAUGCCUGUCUGUGGAUUCGUUCGUCCGACGUUCGGAGUAUAUUUUAAUCGUGACAGAAUCAAUUUACAUCCACAAUCAAAACGCUUCGCAGUAUUCAGCGAUUAGAAAUUUCAUUGAAUGAUAUACAGUCGUCUUUUUCAAAAAUAGAAUAAAAUAGAAUUUCAAAACUGCGGUGACACUUCGACCGAGGCUCUUAAUUAGCACUGCCACCGUCGUAACGGUUUUAUACAUAAAUUGCCGCCAGUCCGAAUGCAUAGUCAUAAUUACGUAAAACUACACAAUUUCACUAAGUCUAUAACUGGCACACUGCACCAUGAUAUUUACACAGUAUUCGCUGGCACGUAAAAUAUUCGGAAAACCGGGGAAAACCGAGAUUUGAAAAUAUUCUGUAAAUGUGAUUGGUAUUUAUUUUCAUGGUAUGCGAUAUUUGAAUGCAGAGAAAUUAAAGUAAAAUAAAAUAAUUACACUGCAGGGAUAAAUCUUAGAUUAGUGUCGACGUUUUUUUUUUUUUUUUUUUUUUUUUUUUUUUUUUUUUUUUUUUUGUUCUUUGUUUUAUACUAGUUCCUUGCAACAUCCUUUUCGCUUCGAGGUUUCCAAAUUAUUGGAAGAUGAUUUGAUGAAAAAAAAAAAAAGAAAAAUAACAUACAAUGUACAGAAAUCCACAGAACUUGUGCAUGCAGGGUAAACAGGCCUACUACCUGUUACCGUCUUAAAAUGGUGCACCCUGACUGUAAAUAUUACAUACUUAACACCUAUUACACAUAGAAUUAAUUCGCGUACCUUGAAAGUAGUUGUAAAAUUUCGGAUAUAGAAUUUGCAGUUGAUAUAUGUAAGCAUAGUAACCGUAUACUAAUUACGUAUACAGAAAUGAGAUCUUUACAUGCGUUGUAAAUUUUGUAAUUGUACUUUAAAAAUUAUAAUUAUAGGAUGAUACUUUAGUGAGCGAGUGUUCACGCGAUGCUUUUCGUCUCUUCAAUAUGCGAAACGUAGAUAUAUUGUAACGAAUAACGUUUAAUGUAAAUUCAAGUAAUCAGUUUCACGUAUUAAGAGCUGUACGAGUUGAAUUACAAAUUAUUCAUUAGUAGGUUGAAACUAUGUGUUCCUUUAAGUAUCUUUGUAUUUAUCUAUAUCUAUAGUUCAUUCUCUCGAGGUUGAAAAAAAAAAAAAAAAAACAAAAAAAAAAAUAAUAUCGAAGCCAACUGUAUACCUGUAAUAACAUUGAUAAGUUGUAAUGCGUAUUCAUUGGCUAUUUGAUUCCGUACUUCUAUCGGCUGUCGAGAAAACUGAUAUUACAAACCUACGUUGUUGAAUUGGGUAACGUUUAAUUUCACAGUUUGCGAAACAAGGAAAUGAAAAAGAUCUCACAUUUUAACGAUAACCGCGUCACUUUGAUUUUCUCGCAGGUAACAGAAGUACUUUACACGUUUCACGCUUUGCGUAUAUCUGUAAGCAUAGUAAUUUUUGUCGAUGUUUCUCGGUGUUGGUUAAACAUAUUUGUAAAUAUUAUAACGGAUCUACAUAAUUUCGAUUUUAUUAUACACGAGCCUUGGUGCACGGAAAAUAAAUAAUUUUGGUCUGUGACGUUUUUUAAAUUUGAAUUCUAUUAUCUACAUAUUCAUAAAAGUCGUAAAAUUUGUAAUCAAUAUUUCUUGCACCCUGGUCUUGUUAGACUGGUUUUUUUUUUUCAUACAACGUUUGGGUUCACGUUUCGGCAAAUGUCACGGUGUUUUUGCUCUAACUUGUGCAUUUUUAAUCGUUGCUGUUGACAGAGCUAAUAUGAAACUCUGUAAUCUAACAUCAUUAUUACGUUACAAUUCUCCGGUUAGAAGAGCAAGAGAUUCGAAAUGCAGAACAAUGCAGAUAAAUAUUUCGUAAAUAUGGCCAAUGCGAGUGGCUUCCGUGUCACUCCGUUGUGAAUCCCUCGUGAAAACUUGUACAUUAUUUGAAUACCGGUAUAAUUUUAAAGUACAACUAUAAGUGUAACUACAAAAUAAAACUUUGUAAAUAUUAAGGAUAACGAUUACGAUAUUACUGGUAACAUUAUUAAUAACAAUAACAGUAAAGUUGUAAGUCAGUAUGUAGAUUAUAGUUUCAUGUGAACACACGGUAGAUGUUCGACUUUAACGAUAUAUCGCCGUAAUUUUGCAGUUUUUUGAACUCGACGAAAUUUCGGCGAUACCAAGUUAUAGAGUCAAUUUAUUCUAAUUCACGGCCAAAGUAAUUAUUAGGAGAAAACGCGCGGCGUCUGCUGCUAUUAAUCUGCUAUUGCAGUAAUUUCGUGUAACAUAACGAAUGGAAUUUGAUUUCUUGCCAAUAUUUGGCUGUCUGAAGUUGGCAGUAGGAAAUGAGAUGAUGAAUUGCUUUUAUCCUUAUUUUACUUUCUUAUAAUAUUAGUCUUCGUAUACCGCAGAGGGCGACGCGUGUAAACUCGAUGUAAAUAGUGUAUUGUAAAAUAUGAUAAAAGAAAAAAAAAAACAAAAAAAAAAACCAAAAAAACAAAACUUCGUUUAACUACACGAUUGUAUCGAAGCCUAUGCUACUUACUUAUAUCCUCAAACUUUUGCCACAGUUUAUUCUCCAUCUAUUUGUAUGUCGGUUCGAUUGGAUAUAGAUUUUGUAUCACCCUUUAUCCGUGUACGAUUCUAUAAUCAGUAUAAUAGAUAUAAUGCGAACGACAUUGGUGAACGAAGUGGAUCUGAUUUAUUCAAAGCUCUGUAUCGAUUAUAAAUUCAUUAGUGAAAAGUUUUUGAUCGGUACGAUUAACAAUGGAAUAUUGUACCAAUUCUCUCAUUCGCCGACGAUAAAAAUUUUAAUUCUUCAGGGUCCAAUAAUUGCCCUUAAAUCAUAUCGCGUCCUUCAACUUCUACUGCAACUAACACGCGUACAUGGUUAUUGUAAGUCAGGCGCAGUAACUAGCGAAAGAAAUAUUUUUCAGGUAGUGCAGUUCUCAACUGUACAACGAAAUUAAUAUUAAGCAUAUUAUUGUUUUUCUUCAGAUGAAAAUGUUAUGGCAACGUUUGUUAUACCAGAUGCAACACAAUAGAUAUACAGAGUGAAUUCCUAACGACUGCAUGGUCCGUCGUCUGCUAACAUUUACCGCUCACGCGCUACAAUUCGAUAGCGGGUGUUUGUCAGGGCAACCAACUGUCAUAAAUUUAAAUGACAGUUCGCCGUGAUGUACGUAACCUCAAAAAUUUCCACAGUUGUGGAUUCAGCACGUCUGCCGUCGACAACUGUCCGCAUUUUUGAGGUUACACACAUCGCGGAGGUUGGUUGCCCUGGCAAACAGCCGCUCUUGGAUCGUUGCGCGUGCGUAUUAAAUUUUAGCAGACGACGAACGAUGCAGCCGUUAGGAAUUUACUUCGUAUAGAAGUCUGUCAAGACAUGUACGUUAACGAAACAACAGAAUUCGGUUUCGCGUGCAGUUUCAAACACUGAAUUAAAUCUCGUGGAAUUUUUAACCUGUAUUCCAUUGAGAAUUUAUAGGUUAUAAAUUACUGGUUAUUGCAAGUGACUGUAGACAAUGUUGAAAUGCGUGAGAGUGGGCGAAUACUUCGUGCAGAAUUUUAAGUCAAUUAACGAUUUAAAGGCAAAUUUGCAAAGGGGUCAAGAUCCCUAAUUUCGUAAUACCUGAUAUCAUAAUUCGUCAAGCGACUGAGUCCAACACUCCGAUUACACGAUAUUAGUUUUUGAAUACGCACGUUGUAGCUCAAUUUGAAUACUAGAAUUCGUCCCUCAAAAAAAUUAUCUAGACCAUAAUGGAAGGAUAGAUACAAACAAUUUCCAGUAUGUAAUGAACUGCGGACGCUUGUUUGAUAACCUUUCAGACAUAUUAAUGAUUAUUGAAAUCACAAGUGCUUACGAACGAAACGCAGUAGAAGUAAAUGAAAAAUAUUGAUUAAAAUAAAGUAACUUUGGUUGUAUAAAAUAAUCAAAAUGAAAAUAAAAAACAGUCCGACAGGCGGACGCAAUCUUAUAUACCAGAACAUAAAAGACUGGCACCAAAAAUCUUUCAAGUAAAAAACCACUCGAAAUUUACUGUAAAUCACCCCAAUUGAUUGAGCGAAAAAUGGCAGGUACCUCGGUGGCAGGUUUAGUUAUGUAAAUUCAUGUUAACGAUACAAUGAGCGCUGACAAAAAAAAAAAGAGGUUUGAAUAUCAACGAAACUUGUUCAACGACGGUAAAUUUAUAGAUCGAAAACUGACAAUGAGUUAGGUUCAAUAGGUUAUAGAAAUGCAACUGGACGAAAACUUUCUGUGUUGUUAAUAAUUGUCACGUGCCACCGAAGGUAACGCUACACGUUUAAGCGCAAUUAUAUCAUCUUUUGAUUAGACGAAUCGUACUUACGUAUAUUAAAUUAUGAAAUAAUAAUUAAUUAUUAAUACAACACUAGUGCGUAGCUAGGCAGGUACCUGCAUUUCAUUGAAUUUAAUAUGUGCUUCGAUAGCUCUUCAAUAAAUCGUUAUACAUGUUUUGAUAAA